GACGAACGCUGGCGGCGUGCUUAACACAUGCAAGUCGAACGGGUCUGCCCUGUUUUUUGCGGGGUGGGUCAGUGGCGAACGGGUGAGUAACACGUGAGUAACCUGCCCCUCACUUCUGGAUAACCGCUUGAAAGGGUGGCUAAUACGGGGUGUUCUGGCUGUGCCGCAUGGUGUGGCUGGGAAAGAUUCACUUUUGUGGUGUUUUGGUGGGGGAUGGGCUCGCGGCCUAUCAGCUUGUUGGUGGGGUGAUGGCCUGCCAAGGCUUUGACGAGUAGCCGGCCUGGGAGGGUGAGCGGUCACACGGGGACUGAGAUGCGGCCCAGACUCCGGCGGGAGGCAGCGGUGGGGGGUAGUGCACAAUGGGCGGAAGCCUGAUGCAGCGACGUCGCGUGAGGGAUGGAGGCCUUCGGGUUGUGAACCUCUUUCGCCGGUGAAGAAGGUCCUGCUCUUUGUGGUGGGGUUGACGGUAGCCGGGAUAUGAAGCGCCGGCUAACUACGUG
rnacentral:rRNA from 1 species